rnacentral:rRNA from 1 species
CCUACGGGAGGCUGCAGUGGGGAAUAUUGGACAAUGGGCGAAAGCCUGAUCCAGCCAUGCCGCGUGUGUGAAGAAGGCCUUCGGGUUGUAAAGCACUUUCAGUGGGGAAGAAAGCCUUGGGGCUAAUACCCUCGAGGAAGGACAUCACCCACAGAAGAAGCACCGGCUAACUCCGUGCCAGCAGCCGCGGUAAUACGGAGGGUGCGAGCGUUAAUCGGAAUUACUGGGCGUAAAGCGCGCGUAGGCGGUCUGAUAAGCCGGUUGUGAAAGCCCCGGGCCCAACCUGGGAACGGCAUCCGGAACUGUCAGGCUAGAGUGCAGGAGAGGAAGGUAGAAUUCCCGGUGUAGCGGUGAAAUGCGUAGAGAUCGGGAGGAAUACCAGUGGCGAAGGCGGCCUUCUGGACUGACACUGACGCUGAGGUGCGAAAGCGUGGGUAGCAAACAGGAUUAGAUACCCUUGUAGUC